rnacentral:rRNA from 1 species
AUUGAACGCUGGCGGCAUGCUUUACACAUGCAAGUCGAACGGUAACAGGUUAAGCUGACGAGUGGCGAACGGGUGAGUAUUGCAUCGGAACGUGCCCAGUCGUGGGGGAUAACGCAGCGAAAGCUGCGCUAAUACCGCAUACGAUCUAUGGAUGAAAGCGGGGGACCGUAAGGCCUCGCGCGAUUGGAGCGGCCGAUGUCAGAUUAGGUAGUUGGUGGGGUAAAGGCUCACCAAGCUAACGAUCUGUAGCUGGUCUGAGAGGACGACCAGCCACACUGGGACUGGGACACGGCCCAGACUCCUACGGGAGGCAGCAGUGGGGAAUUUUGGACAAUGGGCGCAAGCCUGAUCCAGCAAUGCCGCGUGCAGGAAGAAGGCCUUCGGGUUGUAAACUGCUUUUGUACGGAACGAAACGGUCCUGGUUAAUACCUGGGGCUAAUGACGGUACCGUAAGAAUAAGCACCGACUAACUACGUGCCAGCAGCCGCCGUAA